UACGUAGGGGGCUAGCGUUGUCCGGAAUCAUUGGGCGUAAAGAGCGUGUAGGCGGCCCGAUAAGUCCGCUGUGAAAGUCCAGGGCUCAACCCUGGGAUGCCGGUGGAUACUGUCGGGCUAGAGUGCGGAAGAGGCGAGUGGAAUUCCUGGUGUAGCGGUGAAAUGCGUAGAUAUCUGGAGGAACACCGGUGGCGAAGGCGGCAUCCUGGACCGACACUGACGCUGAGGAGCGAAAGCUAGGGGAGCAACAGG
rnacentral:rRNA from 1 species